rnacentral:rRNA from 1 species
UCGGCUAGGGGGCCAUCCCGGCUUACCAACCCGAUGCAAACUGCGAAUACCGGAGAAUGUUAUCACGGGAGACACACGGCGGGUGCUAACGUCCGUCGUGAAGAGGGAAACAACCCAGACCGCCAGCUAAGGUCCCAAAGUCAUGGUUAAGUGGGAAACGAUGUGGGAAGGCCCAGACAGCCAGGAUGUUGGCUUAGAAGCAGCCAUCAUUUAAAGAAAGCGUAAUAGCUCACUGGUCGAGUCGGCCUGCGCGGAAGAUGUAACGGGGCUAAACCAUGCACCGAAGCUGCGGCAGCGACACUCAGGUGUUGUUGGGUAGGGGAGCGUUCUGUAAGCCUGUGAAGGUGGCCUGUGAGGGUUGCUGGAGGUAUCAGAAGUGCGAAUGCUGACAUAAGUAACGAUAAAGCGGGUGAAAAGCCCGCUCGCCGGAAGACCAAGGGUUCCUGUCCAACGUUAAUCGGGGCAGGGUGAGUCGACCCCUAAGGCGAGGCCGAAAGGCGUAGUCGAUGGGAAACAGGUUAAUAUUCCUGUACUUGGUGUUACUGCGAAGGGGGGACGGAGAAGGCUAUGUUGGCCGGGCGACGGUUGUCCCGGUUUAAGCGUGUAGGUGUGUGUUCCAGGUAAAUCCGGUUCACUUUAACACUGAGGCGUGAUGACGAGGCACUACGGUGCUGAAGCAACAAAUGCCCUGCUUCCAGGAAAAGCCUCUAAGCAUCAGGUAACAUCAAAUCGUACCCCAAACCGACACAGGUGGUCAGGUAGAGAAUACCAAGGCGCUUGAGA